AUGCACGCUGGCGGCGUGCCUCAUCCCCGCCAGUCGAGCGCACGGACGAGAAGCUUGCUUCUCUGAUGUUAGCGGCGGACGGGUGAGUAACACGUGGAUAACCUACCUAUAAGACUGGGAUAACUUCGGGAAACCGGAGCUAAUACCGGAUGAUAUUUUGAACCGCAUGGUUCAAAAGUGAAAGACGGUCUUGCUGUCACUUAUAGAUGGAUCCGCGCUGCAUUAGCUAGUUGGUAAGGUAACGGCUUACCAAGGCAACGAUGCAUAGCCGACCUGAGAGGGUGAUCGGCCACACUGGAACUGAGACACGGUCCAGACUCCUACGGGAGGCAGCAGUAGGGAAUCUUCCGCAAUGGGCGAAAGCCUGACGGAGCAACGCCGCGUGAGUGAUGAAGGUCUUCGGAUCGUAAAACUCUGUUAUUAGGGAAGAACAUAUGUGUAAGUAACUGUGCACAUCUUGACGGUACCUAAUCAGAAAGCCACGGCUAACUACGUG
rnacentral:rRNA from 1 species